rnacentral:lncRNA from 1 species
CAAAGCUUUAAAUUGGCCUAUUCAACUUCACAAAAUCUAAGCCAGUCUGAUUUUAAUUUACACAAAAAACUCUGAGAAGAGGGAAUUAGAAGAAAGAGAGACAGACAGAAAAGAUACAGAAAAGAGCAAAUAUAGCUACCACUCCUGCUGUAGAAGUGUUCCAGCUGACAGAGAUCCCAAAGGGAGGGAGGGACAAGACAAGUGCUUAAGUCAUGUUUGUCCUUAAAUGCCUCUUGUCUUUCCUGAGUUACUUCCCCCAUGUGGGAAUUCAGUCAUUUAGCUACUCAAGGGCUGGGUUGGGGGCUCCAGAGGCAGGUGUAGAGCAUUGCCUCCCAUGUGUCAGGGAUUGGCAGCUGCCACACAGUUGAGAUACAGGCUUUAGUGGUGGGAGGUGUGGAGCAGGGCAGUGACCCACCAGGGCAGGGCCUCACCUGGUUCUCCCCUUCCCUCAAACUCUCACCCCAAAAUGUCUCAAGAUAGUCUUCCCAGACUCUUACACAGCCACAGCCCGAAUUUUUCCAUAGCUUAUAUGCCACAUUUAAGAUUGGUGUGCAUUUCCUUAGCUCUUGAGAUGGACAAAACUCAUCAGUUUUGCAUUCAGCCCACUGUGCCCAGACUUGAUUUCAGAAUACAAGAAUUAAGGUCCAUGGAGAGAGCUGGCUUUGGAAACCAUUUCAGAGAAGAUUAA